rnacentral:rRNA from 1 species
CCUACGGGUGGCAGCAGUGAGGAAUAUUGGUCAAUGGGCGCGAGCCUGAACCAGCCAAGUCGCGUGAGGGAAGACGGUCCUAUGGAUUGUACACCUCUUUUGUCGGGGAGCCAAAGACGCCACGCGUGGCGUUCCGAGAGUACCCGAAGACAAAGCAUCGGCUAACUCCGUGUCAGCAGCCGCGGUAAUACGGAGGCUGCGAGCGUUAUCCGAAUUUCUUGGGUUUAAAGGGUGCGCAGGCGGAAGAUCAAGUCAGCGGUAAAAGUGAGAGGUACAACCUCUUCGAGCCGUAGAGACUGAUUUUCUGGAGUGGGUGAGAAGUAUGCGGAAUGUGUGGUGUAGCGGUGAAAUGCAUAGAUAUCACGCAGAACUCCGAUUGCGAAGGCAGCAUACCGGCGCUCAACUGACGCUCAUGCACGAAAGUGUGGGUAUCGAACAGGAUUAGAUACCACAGUAGUC